rnacentral:rRNA from 1 species
GACGAACGCUGGCGGCGUGCUUAACACAUGCAAGUCGAACGGAAAGGCCCUGCUUUUGUGGGGUGCUCGAGUGGCGAACGGGUGAGUAACACGUGAGUAACCUGCCCUUGACUUUGGGAUAACUUCAGGAAACUGGGGCUAAUACCGGAUAGGAGCUCCUGCUGCAUGGUGGGGGUUGGAAAGUUUCGGCGGUUGGGGAUGGACUCGCGGCUUAUCAGCUUGUUGGUGGGGUAGUGGCUUACCAAGGCUUUGAAGGGUAGCCGGCCUGAGAGGGUGACCGGCCACAUUGGGCCUGAGAUACGGCCCAGACUCCUACGGGAGGCAGCAGUGGGGAAUAUUGCACAAUGGGCGGAAUCCUGAUGCAGCAACGCCGCGUGCGGGAUGACGGCCUUCGGGUUGUAAACCGCUUUCGCCUGUGACGAAGCGUGAGUGACGGUAAUGGGUAAAGAAGCACCGGCUAACUACGU